GACGAACGCUGGCGGCGUGCUUAACACAUGCAAGUCGAACGGUAAGGCCCUUCGGGGUACACGAGUGGCGAACGGGUGAGUAACACGUGGGUGAUCUGCCCUGCACUUCGGGAUAAGCCUGGGAAACUGGGUCUAAUACCGGAUAGGACCACUGCCUGCAUGGGUGGUGGUGGAAAGCUUUUGCGGGGUGGGAUGGGCCCGCGGCCUAUCAGCUUGUUGGUGGGGUGAUGGCCUACCAAGGCGACGACGGGUAGACGGCCUGAGAGGGUGACCGGCCACACUGGGACGGGGAUACGGCCCGGACUCCUACGGGAGGCAGCAGUGGGGAAUAUUGCACAAUGGGCGCAAGCCUGAUGCAGCGACGCCGCGUGAGGGAUGGCGGCCUUCGGGUGGUAAACCUCUUUCAGCACCAACGAAACGCAAAUGACGGUAGGUGCAGAAGAAGGACCGGCCAACUACGUGCCAGCCGCCGCAGUAA
rnacentral:rRNA from 1 species